AUUAAAAAACAAAAAAAAUUUACCUCUCAUAAAACAUGUAUUUUUUAAAAUUUGUAACUAGAGACCAACACAGAAGGUGGCUGGCAAGAUGGCAGAAUAGGAACAGCUCCGUCUGCAGCUCCAGCGAGAUAAAUGCAGAAGGUGGAUGAUUUCUGCAUUUCCAACUGAGGGCCAUGAAAUUCUUCAUGCUCUGGGAUUUUUGUUUUCCUGAAGCCUUUGACACAGAGCUUUCAUUGAGAAGAGGAAAUGAAGAAAGAAGCAUGGUUCCAAGUACCAUGAAUAGCCCCACCCGAGGGGAGCAGUUUGUGUGUGCAGAAAGCGCCCUGGGUCAGAAGGGAUCUGUUGGCUUGUGAUGGGAAUGGAGGUGCUACUAUGGCUGAGAACAUCUGUUUUGCUCCUUCUCCAUCCUUCGCAUGGCAGGGCACCGUCCUGACACAGGUCAACCAUGGUUCACAGAUUAACAUGAUCUCCAGGAAGCCAGCAUGUCCUUGCCCAGCUAGACUCCCAGAGACCUGCUGCGUGCCCACCAGCUUCUUGUCUCUAGGGAUAGAAGAUGGUGGGAGCUGGAGACAAGCAGGGCAGCUGGCAGAUUUUGCAAUAUGCAGAAGAUCCCCUGGCCCUCCCUCUGUGGCUGAAUUUAUGGGUAAAAAACAAACAGGAGCUUGGAAGCCAGGUAAGACUCGCCUUACUUCUUUCUCCAAGUAUUUUGGACUCAGCAUGGCUCUAGGUGUUACAGGAAGUAAUGACACCC
rnacentral:lncRNA from 13 species